GAUGAACGCUGGCGGCGUGCCUAAUACAUGCAAGUCGAGCGAACAGACGAGGAGCUUGCUCCUCUGACGUUAGCGGCGGACGGGUGAGUAACACGUGGAUAACCUACCUAUAAGACUGGGAUAACUUCGGGAAACCGGAGCUAAUACCGGAUAAUAUAUUGAACCGCAUGGUUCAAUAGUGAAAGACGGUUUUGCUGUCACUUAUAGAUGGAUCCGCGCCGCAUUAGCUAGUUGGUAAGGUAACGGCUUACCAAGGCGACGAUGUGUAGCCGACCUGAGAGGGUGAUCGGCCACACUGGAACUGAGACACGGUCCAGACUCCUACGGGAGGCAGCAGUAGGGAAUCUUCCGCAAUGGGCGAAAGCCUGACGGAGCAACGCCGCGUGAGUGAUGAAGGUCUUCGGAUCGUAAAACUCUGUUAUUAGGGAAGAACAAAUGUGUAAGUAAAUAUGCACGUCUUGACGGUACCUAAUCAGAAAGCCACGGCUAACUACGUG
rnacentral:rRNA from 1 species